UGACAUUUCGUGUGUGUUUGUGUCCUCAGCUCACGGGACUCUUGCUUAGGGGUGCGAAGCGUGUUCAGGUUAAUGUCUACGUCCAUCAGAUCCCGUACUUCAGUCAAACUGGAAAAAUCCAGACGCUGGUGUUUCCAGUGAUGUACCUUAAUGAGAGCGUGGUUAUUGACGAGGAAUCUGCCAAGAAGCUGAAAGCGGUGGUUACUGAGGCUGACGUGAUCGUCAACAUCCCCUUCAUAGUGAUCAGUGUUGGCAUCUUACUGGGCGUGAUCUUCAUCGUACUCAUGUGCCGACAGCAGCUGCCACAGAGCUCUGCGGCUGAGCGGCAGCCCCUGCUUUCAUCAUAAUCUCCCCAGACGUGGCCAUAAACCGGGCGAUAUCAGGACCAACUAACAUUCGCUCAGACCUCGAGGAUGCUUUGGUUUUCACACGGCGAGACUGAAAAGUUGAAGAGCAGAGAUUGAAGCAUCAGACGGCUCAAAGUGCCAUCAUAGAGCCAAAAAGUGCAAGUGCCUCCAAAUUAGCCAGUUUAGUAUUAGAGUUUUACGUUAUGAAAUAAAUCAGUAAACACUAAUGGAGUGGCAGUGAUGCAACACAUUGCACAUCACAGGUAUCGAUAUGUGAUAUGGUACACAUACCCACUGAUGAUAACUAUAUUAUUAAUACGCUUAUGCAAUUCUUUACCAUGAGCUCAUCUGCCAAAUAAACUGACAGUGGUGCCGAUUUCAGUACUAAUGUAAGUUGUAGUCCGUAUAUUUACAGUCACUAACAUUCAGGAUCAUUGUGUGUUUGAAAAUCCUGUUGCUGACCAAAUUGCCACCAUCUUUGAUUUGGUGCAGUGAUGUAUUUGCACUAAGGUUGCCAUAUUAAGUGAUUUUCUUUGAUGCAAACCAAGAAUUUUUAGAAUGUAUAUACAGUAGGCCUAAACCUGGACAGUUAACAGGCUGAUGUUUUUGAUUUGCCACUAAAAGAAAUGAAGACCUGGAUUUGCACUCUAUACACAACUUAUUUUUAGUGGUUCACAGUUUCAACAGCUCAGUAUUACUACAGCUUUGAGAAAGUUCAGCUUGAACUCAGUAACAGUCUCACUAUGUUCAAUAUUCAUUUACAUGCACUGAUCAGUUUUAAUCUGAUGUUUAUUAAGCCUCAUGUCUGCUUGGUUCACUUUAUCUGUUAUUCUCGUAAUGCAUAAUGUCCAGGUGUUUGGUGGAUGGAGGUUAUGGUGUUUUUUAUGUUUGAAAAGGGAUGAGGGUUUACUAGUUGUUUUGUUUUGGUGAAUUUAACAAUAUUACCACAUGAUCUGAAACUGUGGUCUGAUUUCAGUUUUACUUAUCCUCAAAUGACCUUCAGUCUACCAUCAUCUUUCCCGGACGAGCCCCCAGAUGUGUCAGAUUCAUUUUCAGGUGACGUAAUGUCCAUCAGCGACCGUUGUUAACUUUAUGGAAAUAAUAAUUCAAGCUUUUAAUUAAAAUUGUGAAAUAAUCAUGUCGAAUGUGCUUCUGAAUAAAGACCCAGUGAUGAUGACAACAGCUGUUUUAGGUUUAUAAAAGAAAUGUUAAUGAUUCUUUUUUUUUUUUAAAUAAUUGUUUUAUCAAUUUAUUUCAUCAUGUGAGCAUUGUAGUUUAUGACUUUCUUUAAAAAAUGUAUUGCACUAUCAAUGUAACAAGUUAAUGAGACAAACAAUAAGACAUUAACAAAAAUAAAGCAUGUUACACCAUCUCA